rnacentral:piRNA from 1 species
UGAGAACUGAAGCCUGCUCAUAGGCCACUGU